rnacentral:sRNA from 1 species
UGAUACAUUAAUCUUGUUUCCGUUAUCUAUAUAUACAUUUUUGGAGGGGAUUUUUGAAGAUAAUGUUGAAGAUUUGAGCCAUAAUUCAACAAUUAAUUCAAAUGGGUGGGUUUUACCCGGUUUAACUCUGUUCGGAUUCUGGAUAACAUGUUUAAUUCUGUUCUGAUCUUAGAUAACAUUAAUUUUUGGAAAAGUUACCUAAAAACUAAUAAUUAAAAACGAAAAUUAAUGAUUUAAUUACCAAAUUUAAUAUAAACAAUAUCUCUAAACUAACCAUAUUUCUUAUUUACCUUAACUAAUUUCCUAAAAUAUUUCUACCUAAUUUAAACAUAAAUAUAUAAUUCUUCUUUCAAUUUUAUUUGAUCUUAUACUUUAUUUAUUUUGAAUUUAUAUAAAAUAUAUAUAAUUAAUAAAAUAUUAUAUUUUUUUCUGAAUAUGAUGUAAUUCUAAUUU